UACAAAUACAAAUGUAUUAGCAUCAUGCAUGGUCUCAAUACAAACCCCGUCCAAUCUGAUCCCGCACCUGAACGCUUAAAGCUGCAUGAAACCUAUAUAGGAGUACAUUUGUACAGGAGGGGAAUCAUAUAGCUGAGAGGAGAAUUUAGCAUAUUUGAAAUUUAUCAGUAUCACUAAUAAAUUAUAAAUGACCUUGGCAUGGCAGUCAGUGGACUUUCCGGGGGGGAAAGUUUCCUAUACUUCCGAAAUGAGUUUCAUCUCAGAAUCUUCACAGACCAGAGUACCUUGCUAUCGAGUUCUGGAAGAUGAUGGAGACUUG
rnacentral:lncRNA from 1 species